GGUUAAUCGUCAGUCACCCUUUAGUCCACGGGCCAACCAGCUUUUCGGUACCACUUAAGUGGACGAAAAGACAUUUAGAAUCCAGCCUCAGUGUAUCAUGGCCUAC